CAGGAAACAGCAGCUCUGCGGACGCCCUGAGGGAGAGGAAGAAGCAGGAUCUGACUGGAGCAGAGAACUGCUGCAAUGGACCUGAGUUCGGCACUUGGAAGCUUUCUGUUUUUCCUCUGGAUGUCAGGGAUCUGCACAGGAGAGAGUUGUACUGACUUCAAGCCUGAAAGUGAGGUUUUCUCUGUUCCUGAGGAGGUGGCCAUGCUGGAGAGCUCCCUGCUCUCUUUAAGGGUCCUAAAUUUCAGGGCGGUCCCAUACAACAUCACUUGGAUGAACUCAAAGACAGGACAGGAAAUGAGCAACAAAACCGGUCAGAUUCUGGUACUCGGCGCAACUUUGUGGUUCCUGAACACAACACUGGAUGAUGCUGGAGAAUAUGUGAUCAU